UACAGAGGGUGCAAGCGUUAAUCGGAAUUACUGGGCGUAAAGCGUGCGUAGGCGGUUCGUUAAGUCUGCUGUGAAAGCCCCGGGCUCAACCUGGGAAUGGCAGUGGAUACUGGCGAGCUAGAGUGUGAUAGAGGAUGGUGGAAUUCCCGGUGUAGCGGUGAAAUGCGUAGAGAUCGGGAGGAACAUCAGUGGCGAAGGCGGCCAUCUGGAUCAACACUGACGCUGAGGCACGAAAGCCAGGGGAGCGAACGGG
rnacentral:rRNA from 1 species